rnacentral:rRNA from 1 species
CUUGCUUCUCUUGAGAGCGGCGGACGGGUGAGUAAUGCCUAGGAAUCUGCCUGGUAGUGGGGGAUAACGUUCGGAAACGGACGCUAAUACCGCAUACGUCCUACGGGAGAAAGCAGGGGACCUUCGGGCCUUGCGCUAUCAGAUGAGCCUAGGUCGGAUUAGCUAGUUGGUGGGGUAAUGGCUCACCAAGGCGACGAUCCGUAACUGGUCUGAGAGGAUGAUCAGUCACACUGGAACUGAGACACGGUCCAGACUCCUACGGGAGGCAGCAGUGGGGAAUAUUGGACAAUGGGCGAAAGCCUGAUCCAGCCAUGCCGCGUGUGUGAAGAAGGUCUUCGGAUUGUAAAGCACUUUAAGUUGGGAGGAAGGGUUGUAGAUUAAUACUCUGCAAUUUUGACGUUACCGACAGAAUAAGCACCGGCUAACUCUGUGCCAGCAGCCGCGGUAAUACAGAGGGUGCAAGCGUUAAUCGGAAUUACUGGGCGUAAAGCGCGCGUAGGUGGUUUGUUAAGUUGGAUGUGAAAUCCCCGGGCUCAACCUGGGAACUGCAUUCAAAACUGACUGACUAGAGUAUGGUAGAGGGUGGUGGAAUUUCCUGUGUAGCGGUGAAAUGCGUAGAUAUAGGAAGGAACACCAGUGGCGAAGGCGACCACCUGGACUAAUACUGACACUGAGGUGCGAAAGCGUGGGGAGCAAACAGGAUUAGAUACCCUGGUAGUCCACGCCGUAACGAUGUCAAUUAGCCGUUGGGAAGCCUUGAGCUUUUAGUGGCGCAGCUAACGCAU